rnacentral:sRNA from 1 species
CUUUACUUUGGCUUUUAAGAUCCGGUUGCGGUUUAAGUUCUUAUACUCAAUCAUACACAUGACAUCAAGUCAUAUUCGACUCCAAAACACUAACCAAGCUUCUUCUUGCUUCUCAAAGCUUUGAUGGUGUAGCCAAAGUCUGUAUGAGUCUUUGUAU